UUCCUGAGAAAUUAAAAACUUCCGGUCUCA
rnacentral:piRNA from 1 species